AAUUGUUUCUUCUCUUCCCAAGUACGAUUGGCCCAUUGGAAAAGCUUCUUUAUAUGAAUAUAUAUAUAUAGUUGCCAGCCUGUGACGCUACCCUCAACUCCAUUAAAGGGAGGGUUUAAUCCCUGCGUAUAAUGAUUGUGUGCCAUCUGUGUGUGUUCUCCCGCUCGAGCUUUAAGUGUCGUGGUGCUUAUGAUGGGAAAAUGUAUUGCAGAGCUCAGCGACGAGCCUCGGCAGGCAUAGCGAUGCCAGGCGUAGCGACUUCGGUAGCUUCAGGUGUGGACUGGCUGAGUGGCGCUCCAGCAGCAGAGGCCCAGUCACAGCGCUUUGCAUCUGUGAUGACUCAAACAGACAACGCCGCACAGGGACGCCGACUGACAACUUUACCUACCUGCACACUGUUUCUGUCAGUGACAUCUGAUGGCUUGGCAUCGACCCAGGUGCAGUGUUGAUGCAACUGUGCCAUUUUGCUACAAUCCGACCUAUCUACGUCUCGCUGCGCCAAGCGCAGUAAAGGUUGCGUUACCUGCGCCAAA
rnacentral:lncRNA from 1 species